GCUCGCGAGCUCAGUGGUAGAGCGCACGAUUGCAAAGUAUGCAAUGAUAUCGUGAUGUCCCGUGUUCGACCCACGGUAGUU